rnacentral:rRNA from 1 species
GACGAACGCUGGCGGCGUGCUUAACACAUGCAAGUCUAGCGGACAGGCCCUGCUUUUGUUUGUUUCUCGUGUGUCGAACGCGUGAUUAUCACGUGAGUAUCCUCCCCUUUACUUUGUGAUAUCUUCAUGAUACUGUGGCUCUUACCCGGUAUGAGCUCCUGCUGCAUGUUGGUGGUUAGAAAGUUUCGGCGGUUGUGGAUGGACUCGCUGCUUAUCAGCUUCUUGGUGGGGUAGUUGCUUACCAAGGCUUUGACGGGUAGCCGGCCUGAGAGGUUUACCGGGGACAUUGGUACUGAGAGACGGCCCAGAAGCCUACGGGAGGCAGUAGGGGGGAAUAUUGCAGAAUGGGCGGGAGCGAGAUGCAGCAAUACCGAGAGCGUGAUGAAGGCUUUCGGGUGGUAAACCUAUUUCGACGGUGACGAAGAGUGAGUGACGGUAAUGAGUAAAGAAGCAACGGCUAACUACGUG